GCAUGCUGAGUUUUAGUUUAGAGUGGUUGCACGGGGGCCUCUUCAUCAUGAAUCUGGAAACCCUCUAUCAUUAAGGAUUAGUUCACAGAUUUCCUGAAAGUAAAAGAAAAAUGGAAAAGAAAAUAGGAAGACACCAGCCACCACCUUGCACAGACUCUGGGAUCUAAGACCACACAAUGAAAGGGAGAAAUCAGUGGCUGAAGGAGUCACUUCAUGACUGGGGAGUACAAAUGAUCUAGACCUGCACCGCCUGAUGCUGUAGUUACUACCCACAUGUGGCUAUUUAAGUUGAAAUUAAUUGAAAUUAAAUAAAAUAAAAAAUACAAUUCCUCAGUCACAGUGGUCAAGUGUCAAGUGCUUAAUAGCUGAAUGUAGCUAAUGGCAACUGUAUUAGACAGUGCAGAUUUCAUAAACCAUUUUAUAGGCCGUGUAUAUCAGCACAGAAAGUGCUACAAGACAGUGCUGAUGUGUCUCUUUACAUAAUCAGGUUUAAGCUGGCACUGUCUAGGGUAAUGGCUGAAAAUCAGGGUUUGUUCCUUCGGGACGACAGUUGGAGAAAUGGUCAACCCUUGGUUUCAUAAUAAUAAUGCCUU
rnacentral:lncRNA from 1 species